rnacentral:lncRNA from 1 species
AAAAAACUUCUCAAAAAUUUUUACCUACAUAUUUCAAAAUAUCCAAAACAUACAAAAAACAAAAAAUUCCCUUCCUUUUUUUUUUCUUCCUCCUCCAUCCCAACCCACCACCACCUCCGUCGCUGACCACCACGUCCGGCGCCAUUUCCUUUUUUUUUGCCUUUCAAGCAACUGAGCAUAAAGAACUGAUUCUAGCAAGGAUGAUGCCGCUUUAUGGGGGAUCUCUUUCUCAGGAAGCUUCCGUUUCCUCCUCCGCACAACAGGAGCUAAUUCCAUGAUUUUUAAUGGGGAAGCGGUAGCACCUUGUCCGUGUCCACCAAAGGACACAGCACCAGAAGGCCGCGACGGGGGCUUAUGAGACGGCGUCCGCCUACUACUGCCCACUGAAGUUACAGGGGUUGAUGGACCAGGUGAUGAUACACCUGUAGCAUUGGCAGUUGCAGAAUUUUCAUGUUGGGCAUGAGCCGCCAGGGCAUGGCCCAGCCCCUAAGCCUGAAUGUGUUCAGAUAAUUGGAAAUUACUAGGGAACUGGGGACCGCCGCCUUGACGUUGCAUCUAUUGCCUCUCUGGACAGUACAAUCAAAUGCAGGCAACCAAGGCCCAAUUUAACUGCCGGGCAAGGGAAGAGGGAGGAGGAAGGGUAGAGGGGAGGAGAAGGGGAAAGGGAGGAGAGGGGUGGUGGGAAGUGGCAUUGGAGGAGGUGUUGGUGGAGGAGCAGGUGGUGGUGCAGGAGGUGGGGCUGGUGGUGGAGUUGGGGGUGGAGCAGGCGGGAGAGUAGGACGGGAGGUGGAGUUGCUGCUGGCUGGUGGUGGAGUUGGGGGUGGAGCAGGCGGGAGAGUAGGACGGGAGGUGGAGUUGCUGCUGAGCGUGCGGAGGUGACGGGGAAGAAGAAGAAGAAGAAGAAAA